ACCGCUCUCCAAGGACUCUCGAGCAGCUCCAUCUACAGAUUCACAUGGAGAAGAAUUAAGGGUUCCUGCCAAUCACCAGCACCACUUUGCCAGCCUUGUAAGUGGGCCACCUUGGAAUUGGAGCCUCCAGUUCCUACUGACAUCUGACUGCAACAUCAUGAGAGACCCUGAGUUUGAACCACCCAGCUGAGCUGCUUCUGAGCUAACCCACUGAAACCUUGGCAUCUGUGUGAAGAUGUGAAUGGAGGAGGCAGAGUAGGCAGUGAGUGCCGCAGCCACAGCUUGUGUUCUCUGCAGCCCUGGCACAGAAGAUAGGAACACUCAUGGGGGAUGCGGCCACUGUGAUGUCUUCCCACACAAGAAGUGCCAAGUGCUUUUCUCAUGCUUUUCUGGAUUGUCCCAUGGUGGACGAGUCAGCAGGAGUGAGAUGGAGCAGCACAGUAGAGGGCACCUGCUCUGUUUUGUCCCAGGCCAGGAUAUCGUUGUACAUAUUCUCAGCUAAGUGAGCACCAAUAGAGGAGAGGGAGAGUCUCAUGGAAGUUCCUUCUAAGCCUUUGGCUCUUUUUACCUUCAACAAGGUUCCUUAGAUCCUGGGAUGAGGAGGUGGACCAGCAGAAGGUGGGCUUGUGAAGGCAGCCCGGGGUCCAAAUCCUCCUGGCUCUUCAGCUUAGCGGGUUAGUUAACAUUCAGAAGCCUUCAUCUCCCAUCUGCAAAAUGGGCAUGUCCAACUCAGAAGCUGCCUUGAAGAAAGGGUCUACCCAGCAUGGUGCGUGGAGCCUAAGCAGUCAGUACUUCAGGACUUCACCCGGCCCCUUUCCAAUAACUGCUGCUGUCGCCCUCACAGGAUGUCACCUUCAGCGUCUGAAAGCUGGGUUUGAUGCGUCUGGAAAGGCGUCCCUGACAGGCGUCGUUGCCAGGAGCCCCUAGUGCCACCAGCAGCCAGCAGGGGAGGGCGUCCUCUGCCCGCUCACUUCUGACCCUUCUCUCGUUGCACCCGGAACAUGGUGCAGCUGGGAGCAGCCUGGGCUGCGCGGAAGGCUCAGAUUUGGGGACGGCCCUUGCCAGUGACUGUGAGCUGGGGUGUCUUGGAAACUCCCAGUCUCAGCUUCUCCAUUUAUAAGAUGAGAAUGAUCAUACCAGACUCAGGCAAGGUUGUUUGUGCAUUAGUGAAAUCAGACGUAUUAAAUAAAGUACCACAUUGAUCGUGGAGUUGUUGAAUAACCAAGAACACGCCUAUCUGUCUCCAAAAAAUAAAUGUUGAAAA
rnacentral:lncRNA from 1 species